rnacentral:rRNA from 1 species
CCUACGGGGGGCAGCAGUGGGGAAUAUUGCGCAAUGGGCGAAAGCCUGACGCAGCGACGCCGCGUGAGGGAUGAAGGUCUUCGGAUCGUAAACCUCUGUCAGCAGGGAAGAACGGUCACUGUGCUAAUCAGCAGUGAAUUGACGGUACCUGCAAAGGAAGCACCGGCUAACUCCGUGCCAGCAGCCGCGGUAAUACGGAGGGUGCGAGCGUUAAUCGGAAUUACUGGGCGUAAAGCGAUCGUAGGCGGUAUGUCAAGUCAAGGGUGAAAGCCCCGCGCUCAACGUGGGAACUGCCUUUGAAACUGGCAAACUGGAGUGUGUGAGAGGAUAGUGGAAUUCCAGGUGUAGGAGUGAAAUCCGUAGAUAUCUGGAGGAACAUCAGUGGCGAAGGCGACUAUCUGGCACAUAACUGACGCUGAGGAGCGAAAGCGUGGGUAGCAAACAGGAUUAGAUACCCCAGAAGUC